rnacentral:rRNA from 1 species
GGGGAGCUUGCUUCCUGGAUUAGUGGCGAACGGGUGAGUAACACGUGAGUAACCUGCCCUUGACUCUGGGAUAAGCGUUGGAAACGACGUCUAAUACCGGAUAUGACCUGUGACGGCAUCGUCUGCAGGUGGAAAGAAUUUUGGUCAAGGAUGGACUCGCGGCCUAUCAGGUAGUUGGUGAGGUAAUGGCUCACCAAGCCGACGACGGGUAGCCGGCCUGAGAGGGUGACCGGCCACACUGGGACUGAGACACGGCCCAGACUCCUACGGGAGGCAGCAGUGGGGAAUAUUGCACAAUGGGCGAAAGCCUGAUGCAGCAACGCCGCGUGAGGGAUGACGGCCUUCGGGUUGUAAACCUCUUUUAGUUGGGAAGAAGGGAGCUUGCUCUUGACGGUACCAGCAGAAAAAGCACCGGCUAACUACGUGCCAGCAGCCGCGGUAAUACGUAGGGUGCAAGCGUUGUCCGGAAUUAUUGGGCGUAAAGAGCUCGUAGGCGGUUUGUCGCGUCUGCUGUGAAAUCUGGGGGCUCAACCCCCAGCCUGCAGUGGGUACGGGCAGACUAGAGUGCGGUAGGGGAGAUUGGAAUUCCUGGUGUAGCGGUGGAAUGCGCAGAUAUCAGGAGGAACACCGAUGGCGAAGGCAGAUCUCUGGGCCGUUACUGACGCUGAGGAGCGAAAGCAUGGGGAGCGAACAGGAUUAGAUACCCUGGUAGUCCAUGCCGUAAACGUUGGGAACUAGAUGUAGGGGCCAUUCCACGG